CCUACGGGUGGCAGCAGUGAGGAAUAUUGGUCAAUGGCCGCAGGUCUGAACCAGCCAAGUCGCGUGAGGGAUGACUGUCCUAUGGAUUGUAAACCUCUUUUAUCAGGGAGUAAAGGGCGCCACGUGUGGCGCUUUGCGAGUACCUUAAGAAAAAGCAUCGGCUAACUCCGUGCCAGCAGCCGCGGUAAUACGGAGGAUCCGAGCGUUAUCCGGAUUUAAUGGGUUUAAAGGGUGCGGAGGCGGGUAGUCAAGUCAGCGGUGAAAGUUUGGGGCUCAACCCCGGGCUUGCGUUGGAAAUGGGCGGUCUUGAGUGCGGGUGAGGUAGGCGGAAUGCGUGGGGUAGCGGUGAAAUGCAUAGAUAUCACGAAGAACCCCGAUUGCGAAGGCAGCUUACUGGACUGCAACUGACGUUGAUGCACGAAAGCGUGGGUAUCAAACAGGAUUAGAUACCCCAGUAGUC
rnacentral:rRNA from 1 species